rnacentral:snRNA from 2 species
ACUUACCUGGCAGGGAGAUACCAUGAUCACGAAGGUGUUUUCUCUCCAGGGCGUGGUCUAUCCAUUGAGGCGCACUCCGUGGAUGCUGACCCCUGCGAUUUCCUCCAAAUGCGGGAAACUCGACUGCAUAAUUUGUGGUAGUGCGGGGGACUGUUCGCGCUCCUCUCG